AUUGAACGCUGGCGGCAGGCUUAACACAUGCAAGUCGAACGAGUGGCGGACGGGUGAGUAAUGCUUGGGAAUCUAGCUUAUGGAGGGGGAUAACUACUGGAAACGGUGGCUAAUACCGCAUACUAUCGGAUGAACCCAUAUGGGAUUAGCUAGUAGGUGGGGUAAAGGCUCACCUAGGCGACGAUCUCUAGCUGGUCUGAGAGGAUGAUCAGCCACACUGGGACUGAGACACGGCCCAGACUCCUACGGGAGGCAGCAGUGGGGAAUAUGGCGCAAGGGGGGCAACCCUGACGCAGCCAUGCCGCGUGUAUGAAGAAGGCCUUCGGGUUGUAAAGUACUUUCAGUCGGGAGGCGUUACCGACAGAAGAAGCACCGGCUAACUCCGUGCCAGCAGCCGCGGUAAUUC
rnacentral:rRNA from 1 species